AACGCACAUUGCGCCCCUCGGUAUUCCGUGGGGCAUGCCUGUUCGAGCGUCAUCUACACCCUCAAGCUCUGCUUGGUGUUGGGUGCCUGUCCCGCCCCGCGCGGCGACUCACCCCAAAUGCAUUGGCGGCGGCGCCUUGCCCCUCCCGCGCAGCACAUUGCGCUUCUCGAGGCGGCGGGACCGCGUCCACGAAGCCGACAACCCGUCUUUGACCUCGGAUCAGGUAGGGAUACCCGCUGAACUUAA
rnacentral:misc_RNA from 1 species